rnacentral:rRNA from 1 species
AUUGAACGCUGGCGGAAUGCUUUACACAUGCAAGUCGAACGGCAGCACGGGGGCAACCCUGGUGGCGAGUGGCGAACGGGUGAGUAAUACAUCGGAACGUGCCCAGUCGUGGGGGAUAACGUAGCGAAAGCUACGCUAAUACCGCAUACGAUCUAUGGAUGAAAGCGGGGGACAGUAAGGCCUCGCGCGACUGGAGCGGCCGAUGGCAGAUUAGGUAGUUGGUGGGGUAAAGGCUCACCAAGCCUGCGAUCUGUAGCUGGUCUGAGAGGACGACCAGCCACACUGGGACUGAGACACGGCCCAGACUCCUACGGGAGGCAGCAGUGGGGAAUUUUGGACAAUGGGCGCAAGCCUGAUCCAGCCAUUCCGCGUGCAGGAUGAAGGCCUUCGGGUUGUAAACUGCUUUUGUACUGAACGAAAAGGCUCUUUCUAAUACAGAGGGCUCAUGACGGUACCGUAAGAAUAAGCACCGGCUAACUACGUGCCAGCCGCCGCUGUAACAC